rnacentral:pre_miRNA from 1 species
AAGCAAUAAACUGACCGAUGUGUCUGGGACCAUUUGCAGACAAGUUCUUUAUACACGCAUAUUUUGUCUGCAAAUGGUCCCAGACACAUCGGUCAGUUUAUUGCUUUGUU